rnacentral:ncRNA from 1 species
UUUAAGUUUUACUUGUAAGGAUUUAAAAUUUGAUUAUGGUUUUAGGUAGUGUUAUAAUGAUGUUAUCUGUUUUGGAUUCAUUGAAUGGGCAAUAAUUUUUUACCCUGGCAUUUUGUCGUUUGUAUAAAUUUUGUUCCAGAAUAAUCGGCUAUACUUUAUAAACUUGAACUCUAAUUGAUGUUAGUUUAGGGUUUUGUAAAUAUAUCUUGUUUUUUAGGGUGAAAUCGGGAAUUUUUAUUGAUAAUGCUCUAAUCUUUAAGAUUUGGUGAAUGAAUCAGAUUAGUACCUGAUUAAACAAAAAUUAAAAGAGCAGGAGUAAAGUUGUAUUUAAACUGUAAGAAUAUUGGCAGGUUUUUAAAUUAUCUUUGGAGGUUGAGUAGUAAUUGAGAGCCCUCAUUAACAACUUUUACUGUAGGCGCAUGUAUGAUCGUUUAUUUUAUUCUUAAGGAUUGUAAUUUUAGAUUAACUAUUUUCUGUAAAAAUAGAUAAAUACUUGGUAUAUGUAAAAGAUUUAAUUUGACCUACAAUAUGUUAUCUUGUGGAUACUUUUUUAGUAGAAGGUUGAAAAUGUAAAAGACAGUAAGUUUUUUUUUAUAUAAAGCUGAAGUUUAUUUAAAAACGGUACAAAUCAUCCAUCAAUUGCCUUCAGGGGAGUAAGUUGUAGUAAAGUAGAGCUAGGGGAACCUGGCUCUAGUAAUUA